rnacentral:rRNA from 1 species
AGACCCGAAACCCGGUGAUCUAGCCAUGGGCAGGUUGAAGGUUGGGUAACACUAACUGGAGGACCGAACCGACUAAUGUUGAAAAAUUAGCGGAUGACCUGUGGCUGGGGGUGAAAGGCCAAUCAAACCGGGAGAUAGCUGGUUCUCCCCGAAAGCUAUUUAGGUAGCGCCUCGUGAAUUCAUCUCCGGGGGUAGAGCACUGUUUCGGCUAGGGGGCCAUCCCGGCUUACCAACCCGAUGCAAACUGCGAAUACCGGAGAAUGUUAUCACGGGAGACACACGGCGGGUGCUAACGUCCGUCGUGAAGAGGGAAACAACCCAGACCGCCAGCUAAGGUCCCAAAGUCAUGGUUAAGUGGGAAACGAUGUGGGAAGGCCCAGACAGCCAGGAUGUUGGCUUAGAAGCAGCCAUCAUUUAAAGAAAGCGUAAUAGCUCACUGGUCGAGUCGGCCUGCGCGGAAGAUGUAACGGGGCUAAACCAUGCACCGAAGCUGCGGCAGCGAACGUAUCACCCAAGACAACUUUACGGAGUUGACGAUUGACGGAGCGAAGCGACGUCAAAGCGUUCAUUAAAGUCGAGUUGGCUUAGGGAUACGUUCGUUGGGUAGGGGAGCGUUCUGUAAGCCUGUGAAGGUGUGUCGUGAGGCAUGCUGGAGGUAUCAGAAGUGCGAAUGCUGACAUAAGUAACGAUAAAGCGGGUGAAAAGCCCGCUCGCCGGAAGACCAAGGGUUCCUGUCCAACGUUAAUCGGGGCAGGGUGAGUCGACCCCUAAGGCGAGGCCGAAAGGCGUAGUCGAUGGGAAACGGGUUAAUAUUCCCGUACUUGGUGUUACUGCGAAGGGGGGACGGAGAAGGCUAUGUUGGCCGGGCGACGGUUGUCCCGGUUUAAGCGUGUAGGUGUGUGUUCCAGGUAAAUCCGGUUCACUUUAACACUGAGGCGUGAUGACGAGGCACUACGGUGCUGAAGCAACAAAUGCCCUGCUUCCAGGAAAAGCCUCUAAGCAUCAGGUAACAUCAAAUCGUACCCCAAACCGACACAGGUGGUCAGGUAGAGAAUACCAAGGCGCUUGAGAGAACUCGGGUGAAGGAACUAGGCAAAAUGGUGCCGUAACUUCGGGAGAAGGCACGCUGACACGUAGGUGAAGUGAUUUACUCACGGAGCUGAAGUCAGUCGAAGAUACCAGCUGGCUGCAACUGUUUAUUAAAAACACAGCACUGUGCAAACACGAAAGUGGACGUAUACGGUGUGACGCCUGCCCGGUGCCGGAAGGUUAAUUGAUGGGGUCAGCGCAAGCGAAGCUCCUGAUCGAAGCCCCGGUAAACGGCGGCCGUAACUAUAACGGUCCUAAGGUAGCGAAAUUCCUUGUCGGGUAAGUUCCGACCUGCACGAAUGGCGUAAUGAUGGCCAGGCUGUCUCCACCCGAGACUCAGUGAAAUUGAACUCGCUGUGAAGAUGCAGUGUACCCGCGGCAAGACGGAAAGACCCCGUGAACCUUUACUAUAGCUUGACACUGAACAUUGAGCCUUGAUGUGUAGGAUAGGUGGGAGGCUUUGAAGUGUGGACGCCAGUCUGCAUGGAGCCGACCUUGAAAUACCACCCUUUAAUGUUUGAUGUUCUAACGUGGACCCGUAAUCCGGGUUGCGGACAGUGUCUGGUGGGUAGUUUGACUGGGGCGGUCUCCUCCUAAAGAGUAACGGAGGAGCACGAAGGUUGGCUAAUCCUGGUCGGACAUCAGGAGGUUAGUGCAAUGGCAUAAGCCAGCUUGACUGCGAGCGUGACGGCGCGAGCAGGUGCGAAAGCAGGUCAUAGUGAUCCGGUGGUUCUGAAUGGAAGGGCCAUCGCUCAACGGAUAAAAGGUACUCCGGGGAUAACAGGCUGAUACCGCCCAAGAGUUCAUAUCGACGGCGGUGUUUGGCACCUCGAUGUCGGCUCAUCACAUCCUGGGGCUGAAGUAGGUCCCAAGGGUAUGGCUGUUCGCCAUUUAAAGUGGUACGCGAGCUGGGUUUAGAACGUCGUGAGACAGUUCGGUCCCUAUCUGCCGUGGGCGCUGGAGAACUGAGGGGGGCUGCUCCUAGUACGAGAGGACCGGAGUGGACGCAUCACUGGUGUUCGGGUUGUCAUGCCAAUGGCACUGCCCGGUAGCUAAAUGCGGAAGAGAUAAGUGCUGAAAGCAUCUAAGCACGAAACUUGCCCCGAGAUGA